UAGGGAAUCUUCGGCAAUGGGGGGAACCCUGACCGAGCAACGCCGCGUGAGUGAAGAAGGUUUUCGGAUCGUAAAGCUCUGUUGUUAAGGAAGAACGAGUGUGAGAAUGGAAAGUUCAUGCUGUGACGGUACUUAACCAGAAAGGGACGGCUAACUACGUGCCAGCAGCCGCGGUAAUACGUAGGUCCCGAGCGUUGCCCGGAUUUAUUGGGCGUAAAGCGAGCGCAGGCGGUUAGAAAAGUCUGAAGUGAAAGGCAGUGGCUCAACCAUUGUAGGCUUUGGAAACUGUUUAACUUGAGUGCAGAAGGGGAGAGUGGAAUUCCAUGUGUAGCGGUGAAAUGCGUAGAUAUAUGGAGGAACACCGGUGGCGAAAGCGGCUCUCUGGUCUGUAACUGACGCUGAGGCUCGAAAGCGUGGGGAGCGAACAGG
rnacentral:rRNA from 1 species